UAUUGACAAAAUACACAUUAUACAACACAUCACUAGAGACAUACUUUGUACUUUGAAUACUUAAGUAUUUUUAACAAGAACUUGCAUACUUUCACUUAUGUACAAAUUUGACUUGCCAACUUUCACUUGCAGUGGAGUAAUUUUUGACUGGGAGAAUCUAUACUUUGACUUACUGUAAGUAAAGAAAUUGAGUACUUCGUCCACCUCUGCUCAUAACUGAUAAUCAUGGCCGGCUAAUUAUUGAACAAUAAUCUAUUGGGAUUGCGAAUGUUAUGGAAGGAGAUAACCCUCUUUGUCUGUUCUCAUGGAACCAGUCAUGAGUUGGCGCAAACCGGAUGAACUGAUAUUUACUGGGGACUUCAAUUAGCGACAAGUAGCCGUUUGUUUUUAAAAGUUAAUGAAAAGCGUUUACAAUUCUGCAACUUUCAAAUUGGUUGGUGUACUUGGAGUCCAAAUCUUGACCGGUGUCCAUCGUUUGCUGAAACGUUGCUGGCAGUAUGGUGAACAAAUGCGCAACUCAUCCAGUCAUUGACGCAUUCAUAAAUAUGACCGCGGGAGCUGCAGGUGGUGUUGCCUGUGUCUUGAGUGGACAGCCCUUUGACACAGUCAAAGUCAAAAUGCAAACCUUUCCCCACCUGUACCGAGGGUUCCUGGACUGUAGUCUGAGGACUUAUCGACAAGAGGGGCUCCUGGGUCUUUUUCAGGGGACUGGGCCAGCUCUGCUGGCCAACGUGGCUGAGAAUGCCGUGCUUUUCGCCUGCUACGGCACAUGCCAACAUAUCACCAGCGGACUAUUAGGACUAGACAAGGUCACUGAACUGAGUGACCUGCAGAAUGCUGUGGCCGGCUCAAUGGCAUCUGUGUUUUCCUCCUUGGUGCUCUGUCCCACAGAGCUGGUGAAGUGUCGUAUGCAAGCCCUCCAUGAGAUGAGGAAGGAGGGGAGGACCUCGCUGGCUUCGCGCGUGUCUGCCUAUGCUGUGAUGAAGAGUAUCCUUAAACAGGAAGGUCCUAUGGGCCUAUUUGAAGGGAUGACUAGCACCUGGCUAAGGGAAGUGCCUGGCUACUUCUUCUUCUUUGGUGGCUAUGAGAUCUGCAGGAGUUUUCUCACCAGGCCUGGACACUCAAAGGAUGAGAUGGAUGCCACUCGACUUGUGAUAAGCGGGGGUGUUGGUGGUGCUUUGUUUUGGCUGGCUGUGUACCCCAUCGACUCUGUCAAAUCCCGUAUCCAGGUGCUGUCAAUGUCAGGCAAGCAGGCGGGGUUCCUCGUGACACUGGCCAAGAUCAUACGCACUGAGGGUUUCGUGGCCCUGUACUCUGGUCUUACCCCCACCGUCUUACGAGCCUUCCCCUCAAAUGGAGCUCUUUUCCUGGCCUAUGAGCUGACCAAGCAGGCCCUGUCCAGGCAAAUCUCCAACACUUGAGGAGGCAUGGAUGGGGGCAAAGUCUGCAUUGAGACACACAGACACUUUUUACCUGUCCUCGGUCACUCUUUCCUAAAAUCUCCCCUCCUGUGCCAAUGAGAAAGGAUAGGAGGACCUCGGCCUACCGUAUGAAAAACAGCCACUCGCUCUUGGCAACAUCCCAAGAGAACACUACUUCAUUGUCCUCCAGUAGGACUUAUAGUUCUCCAAUCUCAUCCAUCCAUCCAUUCUCUCUGUGUGUUUAUAGUGUGGCAUAUUGGCAAACUAAGAAGUUAAGUACACUGCUCAAAAAAAUUAAGGGAACACUUACAGUUUUCCACAAUUGUUAAAGCACAUUUUUUGAAACCUUCCACCCUUUUCUCAAUUCUCAAACUACAUUCACAGAAUGUCGGA